GAUCAGGCGGCUCUUGGAGUUUUCGAGAGAAAUAUUCUACAAAAGAUUUACGGGCCUUUACGUGUUGGCUAUGACGAACACCCCAGACGAUCUAACGAUGAGCUAUAUGUGCUUUACAACGAUAUAGUCAGUGCAGCCAAUUAAAAUUCGGCGGCUCCACUGGCUUGGCCAUGUCGUUCAAAUGAACAGAAGGCCUCCUGUUCUGAAGGUGUUCAAAGGG